GGCCUUAGCUCAGCUGGGAGAGCGCCUGCUUUGCACGCAGGAGGUCAGCGGUUUAAGACACCGCCCUUUCACGGCGGUAACACGGGUUCGAAUCCCGUACGGGUCACCA
rnacentral:tRNA from 1 species